rnacentral:rRNA from 1 species
AUUGAACGCUGGCGGCAGGCUUAACACAUGCAAGUCGAGCGGGGUGAUGGUGCUUGCACUAUCACUUAGCGGCGGACGGGUGGGUAAUGCUUAGGAAUCUGCCUAUUAGUGGGGGACAACAUUCCGAAAGGAAUGCUAAUACCGCAUACGCCCUAUGGGGGAAAGCAGGGGAUCUUCGGACCUUGCGCUAAUAGAUGAGCCUAAGUCGGAUUAGCUAGUUGGUGGGGUAAAGGCCUACCAAGGCGACGAUCUGUAGCGGGUCUGAGAGGAUGAUCCGCCACACUGGGACUGAGACACGGCCCAGACUCCUACGGGGGGCAGCAGUGGGGAAUAUUGGACAAUGGGCGGAAGCCUGAUCCAGCCAUGCCGCGUGUGUGAAGAAGGCCUUUUGGUUGUAAAGCACUUUAAGCGAGGAGGAGGCUACCUGGAUUAAUACUCUAGGAUAGUGGACGUUACUCGCAGAAUAAGCACCGGCUAACUCUGUGCCAGCAGCCGCAGUAACAC